rnacentral:rRNA from 1 species
AGCGGCGGACGGGUGAGUAACGCGUGGGUAACCUGCCUCGUACAGGGGGAUAACAGUUGGAAACGGCUGCUAAUACCGCAUAAGCGCACAGUACCGCAUGGUACGGUGUGAAAAACUCCGGUGGUAUGAGAUGGACCCGCGUCUGAUUAGGUAGUUGGUGGGGUAACGGCCUACCAAGCCGACGAUCAGUAGCCGACCUGAGAGGGUGACCGCCACAUUGGGACUGAGACACGGCCCAA